GGAUAUAGCUCAGUUGGUAGAGUGCUUGCCUUGCAUGCAUAAGGCCCUGGGUUCAAUCCUCAGCACCA
rnacentral:tRNA from 1 species